UUCAUUCUUUCAGGGCCACAGAAGCAUAGAAGACUAGUCAUAAGUUGGUGGGGGUGCCAAGAGGAAAGGCACAGCAGAGAAUGCUAAGAGCCUAAGGAUGUGACUGGAGAAUCUCCUGAAGUUAUAGAUCCUGCAGGGUCCUAUCCCAUAAGGCAUGGAUUGCAAAGGAGAACAAAGAAUCCACGGAGGUGAUCGACUUUGAGGUGAAGCUGGGAGAGGAAGAUGAUGGUGCCAUCAACAGAAAAAGGCACAUGUACCAAAGCCUUGGUCCAAGGCUCUGUCUUCAUAGAGCCCAGGCUGUCCUGCGGUCUGCACUGAGCUCACCCUCCAGGAGGCAUCCUAGAGAUCUUUGCACCUCCUCCUCCUCUUACCCACAGGACAGAUAUCUUGGCCAGUCUUUCUGAUUGCCCAGCUGGCCGAGGAUGCCUUUCUUUGCUUUUCUCCUCUGUAUGGGGGCUGGAGGCAGGUGAACCCCGUGGUGAACAGGGUCUCUCUCCUGGGUUGUGCCCAGUUGCAGUUCACCCCCCUUCCCCAUGCUUUGUGCCUGUCUCCCAGUUGCUGGGUGGUCAGGGGAGACUCUGCAGAAGGGGCAGGUGCCUGUGCCUCUGGAUGGUUCCACUGAGGAACUGAUGUAAGGGAUGACAUGUGGGGACUGUAGGGCUUCCAGGAUCAGGAAGCGGGUGAUGGAAGCACCUAGGCCCCAAUAUGGCCCCAAGCUCCUGAAGACCACCUUCUCCCGUCUCCCUCCUCUCAGCCCCAAAACAACAGACAAGCAAACCUACCCUGAAACAGUGUCGGGAAGGCUCCUCCCCUCGGCCUAAUGUCUCAGGCACACAGCAGCCAACUCAAGAUGAGGGUCCCUAUUUGGAGAGUCUGGAUCCGUGUUU
rnacentral:lncRNA from 1 species